rnacentral:snRNA from 1 species
GUGCACGCAAAUUCCCUUCAAUCGAACUAAUCUUUCGCCUUUUACUAAAGAUUACCGUGGAGGGGAGCUUUACAAUUAGCCUAUAGGCAAUUUUUGAAAUCCCGCUUUCCGCGGGAU